rnacentral:rRNA from 1 species
CCUACGGGAGGCAGCAGUGAGGAAUAUUGGUCAAUGGGCGCGAGCCUGAACCAGCCAAGUAGCGUGAAGGAUGACUGCCCUACGGGUUGUAAACUUCUUUUAUAAAGGAAUAAAGUGAGGCACGUGUCCCUUUUUGUAUGUACUUUAUGAAUAAGGAUCGGCUAACUCCGUGCCAUCAGCCGCGGUAAUACGGAGGAUCCGAGCGUUAUCCGGAUUUAUUGGGUUUAAAGGGAGCGUAGAUGGGUUGUUAAGUCAGUUGUGAAAGUUUGCGGCUCAACCGUAAAAUUGCAAUUGAUACUGGCAGUCUUGAGUACAGUUGAGGUAGGCGGAAUUCGUGGUGUGGCGGUGAAAUGCUUAGAUAUCACGAAGAACUCCGAUUGCGAAGGCAGCUUACUAAACUGCCACUGACAUUGAUGCUCGAAAGUGUGGGUAUCAAACAGGAUUAGAUACCCGAGUAGUC